rnacentral:rRNA from 1 species
CCUACGGGUGGCUGCAGUGAGGAAUAUUUGUCAAUGGGCGGAAGCCUGAACCAGCCAAGUAGCGUGCAGGAUGACGGCCCUACGGGUUGUAAACUGCUUUUAUACGGGAAUAACGUUCAUUAUGUGUAGUGUUUUGUAUGUACCGUAUGAAUAAGGAUCGGCUAACUCCGUGCCAGCAGCCGCGGUAAUACGGAAGGUCCGGGCGUUAUCCGGAUUUAUUGGGUUUAAAGGGAGCGUAGGCGGACGGUUAAGCCAGUUGUGAAAGUUUGCGGCUCAACCGUAAACUUGCAGGUGAUACUGGGUGUCGGGAGUGCAGUAGAGGUAGGCGGAAUGCGUGGUGUAGCGGUGAAAUGCUGAGAGAGCACGAAGAACGGCGAUUGCGAAGGCAGCUGACUGGACUGUAACUGACGCUGAUGCUCGAAAGUGUGGGUAUCAAACAGGAUUAGAUACACCUGUAGUC